GACGAACGCUGGCGGCGUGCUUAACACAUGCAAGUCGAACGGAAAGGCCCUGCUUGCAGGGUACUCGAGUGGCGAACGGGUGAGUAACACGUGGGUGAUCUGCCCUGCACUUCGGGAUAAGCCUGGGAAACUGGGUCUAAUACCGGAUAGGAGCCAUUUUUAGUGUGAUGGUUGGAAAGGUUUUUCGGUGUAGGAUGAGCUCGCGGCCUAUCAGCUUGUUGGUGGGGUAAUGGCCUACCAAGGCGGCGACGGGUAGCCGGCCUGAGAGGGUGGACGGCCACAUUGGGACUGAGAUACGGCCCAGACUCCUACGGGAGGCAGCAGUGGGGAAUAUUGCACAAUGGGCGCAAGCCUGAUGCAGCGACGCCGCGUGGGGGAUGACGGCCUUCGGGUUGUAAACUCCUUUCGCUAGGGACGAAGCUUUUUGUGACGGUACCUAGAUAAGAAGCACCGGCUAACUACGUG
rnacentral:rRNA from 1 species